AACGGGAUUGGAGGAUUUCAUACUGACGCAAGAGCAGAGGACGGUAUAGAAAUGUUAACUAGAUUGGGUCAACCUUGAAGGUAAAUAACCUGUGACUCGAAUGUAAACAAUGAACACCACUCCGGAAAGAUUACUUGAGAUUCAGUAAGAUCAUGAACAUCAAAUGUUACGAUUAUCACAACAAUACAAAGAAAUAAACAAUUAUAUACAUGGUAUAAUACAUCAGAAAAUGGUUUAGACUCUGCAUAUGAGAUACAGAAAGCUAAAUUUAUGUGUACUUCCAGGAGACAGCAGGUUAUCACAACACUGUACUACUA